rnacentral:rRNA from 1 species
CAGUCGCUGCGGUAAUACCGAGGGUGCGAGCGUUAAUCGGAUUUACUGGGCGUAAAGCGUGCGUAGGCGGCUAAUUGAGUCGGAUGUGAAAUCCCCGAGCUUAACUUGGGAAUUGCAUUCGAUACUGGUUAGCUAGAGUGUGGGAGAGGAUGGUAGAAUUCCAGGUGUAGCGGUGAAAUGCGUAGAGAUCUGGAGGAAUACCGAUGGCGAAGGCAGCCAUCUGGCCUAACACUGACGCUGAGGUACGAAAGCAUGGGGAGCAAACAGGAUUAGAGACCCGAGUAGUCCCUGUCUCUUAUAC